UGGGAUGUAAAAGUUAAAAAUUUCAAAACC
rnacentral:piRNA from 1 species